UCUUACAGACUGUAAGGAAGCGUGCCAGUAGAGCUGGAGACCUCUAGCAUUGCUACCUGCAUCCGAUAUUAUUCCAGAUACACAGUAAUUUUUUUCUAUGUUUUUAUCUAGCACCUUCUCAUGUAAAUGCCUACAGUGCGUGUCUUCCCUUUGGGUGGCAUGCUCUGGGAGACACGAUCUCCUGUAACAUCCUCAUUCAUAAGCUGAUGAAGUGUGGACUGGAUAAGAGAACAGUGAAGUUGAUUGAAAACUGAUGACUGAACUGGGGUCUCAGCGUGUUGUGAUCAGUUGCAGGAAGUCCAGCUGGAGGCCAGUGACUAGUGGUGUCCCCUAAGGUCCAUACUGGGGCCAGUACUGAUUAACCUCUUCAGUAGUGACCUGGAUGAUGGGACAGAGUACACCCUCAGCAGGUUUGCUGAUGACACAAAACUGGCAGGAGUGGCUAAUACAUCAGAUGGGUGUGCUGCCAUUCAGAGGGACAUCAACUGGCUGGAGAAAUGGGCCAACAGGAAUCUCAUGAAGUUCAUCAAAGGGAUACACAAAGUCCUGCACCUGAGGAGGAAUAACUGCAUGCACCAAUACAGGCUGGAGGCAGACCAGCUGGAAAGCAGCUUGGCAGAAGAGGACCUGGGGGUCCUGGUGGACAACCAGUUGACCACUGAGCCAGCAACAUGUCCUCAUGGCAAAAAAGGCCAACAGCAUCCUGUGCUGUAUUAGGAGGAGCGUUGCCAGCAGGUCAAGAGUCAAGAGUGCUCCUUCCCUUCUGCUCUGCAGUGGUGAGGCCACAUCUGGAGCACUAUGUCCAGUGCUGUGGUCCCCAGCACAAGAGAAAUAUGGACAUACUGGAGUGUGUCCAGUGAAGGGUCAUGAAGAUGAUUAAGGGCUUAGAGCAUCUGACAUACGAGGAGAGGCUGAGAGAACUGGGAUUGUUUAUCCUGGAGAAGAGAAAGCUCAGGAGGCCUUACCAAUGUGUAUAAAUGCCUGAUGGGAGGCAGUGAGGACAACAAAGCCAGACUCUUCUCCGUGGCACCCAGAGACUGGAUGAGAGGCAAUGGGCACAAGUUGAUAAUUGGGAAAUUCUAUUUAAGCAUAAGAAAAAGCCUUUCUUACCAUGACGGUGAUCAAACACUGGAACAGGUUGCCCAGAGAGAUUGUGAAGUCUCCAUCCUUGGAGAUACUCAAAACGCCACUGGACACGGUCCCGAGCUACCUCCUCUGAUUGAUCCUGCUUUGAGGUCCCUUCCAACCUCAACUAUUCUAUGGUUCUGUAUAAAAUAUCCCUGUGUGAAGAUCCAAACAUGAAGGAAAGGUGACCUCUGGUGUUGGCAUUGAUGAGGAGGAACACGGCAAUCAAGGAUGUAAUCACAGCUGGAGAGAAGUCUGACAGCUUCUUCUGGCUUGCUCCUCCUGGCUUACA